rnacentral:tRNA from 1 species
GGCUGGUGGUGGCGGGCGGCGGCGCUCGGCGCGCUGAACAUCGGGGUCUUCUUCCCGCUGCUGUUCGUGUCGGCGUACCGGCUGCC